GGAUCGACUAUGUCGAAUAAAAUUCUAGGUAGAAUUAUGAUAAUGACAUUGUCUGCCUAUGUGUCUUGACCAAAUUACGUGCCNGCAGUCGCGGUAAUACGUAGAAGACUAGUGUUAUUCAUGUUUAAUCGGUUUAAAGGGUACCUAGACGGUAAAUCAAGCCUAAAAUUAAAUGAAGGGACUAAUUUACUAGAGUUACUUAUGAGGGGGUAUUAAAGUACUGCUGGUGUAGAGAUGAAAUUCUGUCAUACCUCUUUUCAAUAGAAAAACAAUGGCACAGGUAUAGGCGAAAGCAUCCCCUUAUGUGAUAACUGACGUUGAGGGACGAAGGCUUUGUGUAGCGAACAGGAUUAGAUACCCCAGUAGUCAAAGCAGAAAAUGAUGAAUGUCAUAGAUUAGAUAAAUAAGUUUAUUCUAUAAAUGAAAGUGUAAGCAUUCCACCUCAAGAGUAAUUUGGCAACAUUGGAACUGAAAUCAUUAGACCGUUUCUGAAACCAGUAGUGAAGUAUGUUGUUUAAUUUGAUGAUCCGCAAAAAACCUUACCACAAUUUGAAUAUUUAUAUUUUUUUAUUGUUUUCUUUUUAAUUUUCUUCUGAUUUGAUUUUUCUAAAGAAAAAAAGAAAAAGAGGCGAUAUGAUAUAUUUACAAGCGUUGCACGGCUGUCUUCAGUUAAUGUCGCGAGACUUUGGUUAGUUCCAUUAAAUUAACGUAAACCCUUACUUUAUUUUUAUAUAGAGUAGUUCCCCGCUAUAUUGGAUAUGAUAAC
rnacentral:rRNA from 1 species